AUUAUCGCGCCAGUUGUGAUCGCGCCAUCACACGGUCCUGGUUGUGGUACGCCUUGCCCUCAAGACUAUCAUGGAGUAUGAGGUGCGGGAAGGUAGGCGACGGGGCAGCCGCGUCUACGCAUGUGCUGACGGCCACAUCUACGUUUCGAAAACCAAGAUUGGACUCAGCACAUAUCUCCAGUGCCAUCAGCGUGAGAACACUGCAGUGAGAUGCUUGGGGACGGCCGUUUUGAACGGUGGGCGCAUCCGCCUAAACCGGCCGCAUACUCAUGCUCCACUUCACCUGGAUAACGAGAUGUUGAGCGUGACGUCGGCAAUUAGGACUGCUGUCCAAAAUGAUGUAGAGGGGAGGACAAACCGCCAAAUUUUCAAUCACCUGGCGCAAGGCGAGGCGGGA